rnacentral:rRNA from 1 species
ACCUACGGGAGGCAGCAGUGGGGAAUUUUUCGCAAUGGGGGAAACCCUGACGAAGCAACGCCGCGUGGAGGAUGAAGGCCUUCGGGUCGUAAACUCCUGUCGACUGGGAAGAAAGCGCUUUGACCUAAUACGUCGAGGUGUUGACUGUACCGGUGGAGGAAGCCACGGCUAACUCUGUGCCAGCAGCCGCGGUAAUACAGAGGUGGCAAGCGUUGUUCGGAAUUACUGGGCGUAAAGGGCGCGUAGGCGGUUUGUCAAGUCCCGUGUGAAAGCCCCCGGCUCAACCGGGGAACGGCGCGGGAAACUAGCAGGCUUGAGUUCGGGAGAGGGAAGCGGAAUUCCGGGUGUAGCGGUGAAAUGCGCAGAUAUCCGGAGGAACACCGGUGGCGAAGGCGGCUUCCUGGACCGACACUGACGCUGAGGCGCGAAAGCUAGGGGAGCAAACGGGAUUAGAUACCCCGGU